UUCGCUCGCUACCGCGUUCUCUGUAUUUAUAGAUUUUUGAUUUACGUAUAGACUACUUGAAUCUAUUACAAUAUAUUAUCAAUAAUAGUUAACAUUAACAAGAAAAUGUUUCUAAUUUUUUCCAUUUUGAGAUCGGCAGAUCACACGUCU